rfam:Lysinibacillus sphaericus OT4b.31 genomic scaffold Ls31_scaffold1, whole genome shotgun sequence.
UAACCUACUUGGUGACAAGUAGCUGAACCAUCAGAAGUCAGCAGAGGUCAUAGUACGAUUGGGUCUAGAACUAAUCGGAAGGGC